rnacentral:lncRNA from 1 species
UAAAUAAACCAUUCACAGUACUACUUGGCAGUUAGAGUACAAAUAACAUUCAUUUAUUGAUUAUGAUAGAUAGUAUUUAUUUAUACUAUGAUAGAGUUAGGCAGUAAAUAUCCAAGAAUUAUGAACACUCCUUUUUAUCGCAGUGAAUUUGCCUAUCAGUCAGGCAAAUUAUUGAUUAUUGAUUGAAAAUGCUUUCCAUGAGGUUGUGCCACUCAUUGAGAGAGCAGUUGGAUUACAAGGAAGUUUCCUUAGAAGCAUUUCUUGAUGUCCAAGGGGAAUUAGAUUUGACUUAUUUCAAGCAAAUUAUCUUUGUAGCAAAUGGACUUGCAAUUUAUUCAACAAUUGUUCAUUGGAUUGGUUUCAUGCUGAAGUACAGAAUUGUUUAUAGUACACUCUAUGAGGAGGAAGUUAAGAUGUUCACA